rnacentral:rRNA from 11 species
UGCAAUGGCCUCAAUAUACUAAACGCACCAGAUCCCAUCUGAUACUGGAAGCUAAGCAGGAUCAACCCUGUUGAUUGCUUGGAUGGGAUACUACUAAGGAAAACCAUCUACUGUAGGCU